AGCAAUAUUUACAAUAGCCAGGACAUGGAAGCAACCUAAUUUUCCAUCGACAGAUGAAUGGAUAAAGAAGAUGUGGCACAUAUAUACAAUGGAAUAUUACUCCGCCAUAAAAAGAAACGAAAUUGAGUUAUUUGUAGUGAGAUGGAUGGACCUAGAGUCUGUCAUACAAAAUGAAUCAUCAAUUGCUCUGUGUGAAGAUAUGCCCUGGGAAGCCCUAUGUAGAGGUCCAUAUAGUGAGGAACUGAAGCCUCCUGCCAAGAGCCAUAUGAGUGAUCUUGGAAACAGAUUCUCUAGCCUCAAUCAAGUGUUCAGAAACUACAUACAGCCUUAGUAACAACUUGAUUGCAAACUCGUGAGGAAGUGUGAGCAAGAAUCAUGCAGGGUCUGCGCCAGAGCUCUUCAAGGACAGGGAUUGCAUUUGGUGAGCUUUUCACCAGAAUGUCAGCUCCAAGAGAGAUUGUUCUCCAGCAAUAGUGGCUCAAUUUGUGGCAAUAAACACGUGUGUAGUUGUUUGCCUGGCUCUCUACCAACAUAGGGUUUGUCAAAGGAAAACUCAAAGUUAUAAACAUCUAGAAAAAGAAACAAAGACCUACAAAGAAACAAAGACCUAUUUCUCCAAAUAACACAAUGCGGAGCAUUUAAAAAGAAAAUACCCUGUGAAAUUAGGAAUGUUUCUGAGUUCAGAUCAAUCUGUUCAAUGCGGAAAGCAGCAACUUUGUGACAUGACUUUUAUAUUCACAAAGGUCAAGACACAGCUUCAAUAUCUGCAUAGAAAAGAUGAGGGACAGACUUAUUUUUGCAGGAAGUCCAGGUUAUCUGAAAUGUUCAGCAAUUGGACAUUGAGGAAAGGAUCUCUGAGCUUGAGGAUAUUUCAGUAGAACCCACCAGAAAUGAAAAGUGAACGAAGACCGAAAAAAUCGGAACUGUGGGACAGUUACAAAAGGUGUAACGUAUGUGUAAUGGGAAUAACAAAAGGAGAAGGAAAAAAAAGGAAGAGAAGAAAUAUUUAAAAUAAUAAUAACUGAGAAUUUCCCCCAAAUUGAUGUCAGAUACCAAAUUACAGAUCCAGAAAACUCAGAACACCAAACAGGAAAAAUGCCAAAAAAAUUACAACUUGGCUUUCUGUAUUUUGAAUAUGAUAUGCCAAAGUCAAAGAAAAAAAUUCUGAAACAAGCCAAAGGUAAAAUAUACCUUACCUAUAGAGGAGCAAGGGUAAGAAUUACAUCUAACUUCUCAUAAACCAUGCAAGCCAAGAAGAGAAGUGGAGUGAAACAUUUAAUCUGAUGAAAGAAAAAAAGCCACUUACCUACAGUUCUGUACCUUGAGAAAUUUUCCUUCAAAAGUGAAGGAAAAGUAAAGACUUCCUCGGACAAACAAAAAUCGAGGGAGUUUGUUCCUAGUGGGCCUUGCCUUGCAAGAAUGUUAAAGGAAGUUCUUUAGAGAAAAGGAAAAUAAGUCAAAAACUGGGAUCCACAUAAAGUAAGGAAGAGCAUCAAAGAAGGAAUAAAUGAAGCCACUCCGCAUCACUCGCAUUACCACCUGAGCUCCGCCUCCUGUCAGCAUUAUGGUGGAACAGGAAUUGGGAAAACACCAGAAUCAAAUCUUCAUGAAUUUUUAGUAGAAAGGCUGCAGGAGUGAGGACCACUAGAUUACUGAAAGAGCAGAAUGGAUGGUCUGUCCCUAGUCCUGAGUCUGAUUUGAAGAUCUGAGUGGCAGAAGCUAAUUUUAAAGGAUCAAC